rnacentral:rRNA from 1 species
GCGUGGGAACGUGCCCUUCGGUUCGGAAUAACUCAGGGAAACUUGAGCUAAUACCGGAUACGCCCUUAUGGGGAAAGGCUUGACUGCCGAAGGAUCGGCCCGCGUCUGAUUAGCUAGUUGGUGAGGUUAUGGCUCACCAAGGCGACGAUCAGUAGCUGGUCUGAGAGGAUGAUCAGCCACACUGGGACUGAGACACGGCCCAGACUCCUACGGGAGGCAGCAGUGGGGAAUAUUGGACAAUGGGGGCAACCCUGAUCCAGCCAUGCCGCGUGAGUGAUGACGGCCUUAGGGUUGUAAAGC